rnacentral:tRNA from 2 species
GCCACCUUAGCUCAGCGGUAGAGCAGCUGUUUUGUAAACAGCAGGUCGUCGGUUCGAAACCGACAGGUGGCUCCA